CUUUGAAACUUUUUUUUUCAGGUUGGAAUUAUGGCAGGAAACUGGCUCCAUAGCAUUGCGCUCUCGAAAUGCAUUUUGGGUCCGUCCGUUCAGACCUGUCCAUGGUUCAGAGUCGCACUCGCGACGCUCAUCCGUCGAAGGACGCAUGGUGUGUGGAACAAGCGUACAUAGGCCUACCUGAUCGCGUUCAUUUGUUCGCCUCCCUCCACCUCCCUCUCUCUCCGGUGCAUAUUUAAGCCACUUCUUCAGUGUCCCUGAAAAAACAAUAUGGGUGGUCCCUGGCAGCUGUUUUUGUAGUGCAGCUGAAAGAAAGAAACAAACAAACAAACCCGGUCAAGAAUUACCAACAUGGCGACGAGGCAGCUUGAUGGACGAAGCGGCAGCUUCUGGUGCUACCGGCCUCACCAUCUCUCUCCUAAGCGCCCUCACUUCACUCCCCAGAUUGUCGUGCUGUUUUUCUUGGGGGGGGUGGUGCCUCGUCAUCAGUGUCCACACCUUGAAGCAUAUUUAACUCUAAAGGUCUGCACCUUCAAAAAAGUGUUGCGGCGGGCCCGUAGUGGUCUGGACUCUUCCAGCUGGCUCCUGCAGGGUCUUCAGCCUCUGACUGUAUGUCUGAUGUUAAACACACUAACCAAGACCCUCACGUCACCGUGCACGUCCCACGCUGCACCUGGAGGAAGGUGGUGCGCGACUGCCUUCUGGAGGCGGAUAUGAUCAUAAGAACUAGGAGGCCAGAAACAAUUCCAUGACUCCCCUGCCUCCUCCAACCAGCUGCUUGGCACUAUGGUAGUGCUCCUAUCUUUGAAUUCGACGACCUUCCACACCUGUGCCAUCUGUCAAUGAGAAGAUGAAGGAGAAUGCGUGCAGUGGGCUGAAUGGAGAAUUCGUGAAUCAAAGGCAACACCAAGAAAUGCAUUAAUGAAAUUAAGCACUAU
ensembl:lncRNA